UUGCAGUGUUUGGAUUUAGGACUGCUC
rnacentral:piRNA from 1 species